AGCAGUCGCCGCGGUAAAACGUAGGGUGCAAGCGUUAAUCGGAAUUACUGGGCGUAAAGCGUGCGCAGGCGGUUAUAUAAGACAGAUGUGAAAUCCCCGGGCUCAACCUGGGAACUGCAUUUGUGACUGUAUAGCUAGAGUACGGCAGAGGGGGAUGGAAUUCCGCGUGUAGCAGUGAAAUGCGUAGAUAUGCGGAGGAACACCGAUGGCGAAGGCAAUCCCCUGGGCCUGUACUGACGCUCAUGCACGAAAGCGUGGGGAGCAAACAGGAUUAGAUACCCCCGUAGUCCCUGUCUCUUAUAA
rnacentral:rRNA from 1 species